rnacentral:rRNA from 1 species
UACAGAGGGUGCAAGCGUUAAUCGGAAUUACUGGGCGUAAAGCGUGCGUAGACGGUUAUGUAAGUCAGAUGUGAAAGCCCCGGGCUCAACCUGGGAAUUGCAUUUGAUACUGGCAACCUAGAGACUGGAAGAGGUUAGUGGAAUUCCCAGUGUAGAGGUGAAAUUCGUAGAUAUUGGGAAGAACACCAGUGGCGAAGGCGGCUAACUGGUCCAGCACUGACGCUGAGGUGCGAAAGCGUGGGGAGCAAACAGG